rnacentral:lncRNA from 1 species
GGGUGAGGCAGGUAAGUGCUUCUGUCCGAUUCCGGGGGCACUAGGUGUUGCUGCGCGACGCCCCAGAGGGGCGGCCUGAGUGGGCCGAGGGGCGGUCUGUCGGUCUUUGCGCGGGAGUGUGCCCGCGUCUGUCCGGUUUGUUGGCUUGCGUUCUUCGGUGUGCCCUCUGGGCUGCUCCUUCGAGUGUGUGUGUGUGUGUUUCCUAAUAGCGUGUGUGAAGCCCUAAUAGCUUGUUUGUAGGGGCCUCCGUGUGACCUGGUGUAGUGCGUUACCACGUUAUCUGUAAUUAAGGCGACAUUGUUGCGGCCUGUAUGACCGAAGCCAUCACCAGGUUGUGAGAGUGUGUGACCCUCUGUGGCUGUGCCAUUGUGAGCCGUAUGACAGCUUUGUGUGACAGUUACUGGGACCACCCUUAAUAACCUAGUGAUUAAUUCCCUGGUGAUCCUGAAGUUCCUGAACAUUUUCUUUCUCUCUGCUUGAAAAAGCGCCUGCCACUGCCAGAACGGGAUCGGGUGAGUGUCUGAACAUGUGGCUUCCUUGAAGGGAAGGCUGGAGCCUUCCUCCCUACAUUUCUCUUCCUUGUAGCGUCUCUCCUAAAAGUGGGCUCAAGAUGAGAUUUUCUUGUGGAAGGUAGGGUCUGGCUGCUUACUGCUUGGAAACCAGUGGACAGCAAGGUUGGUGGAAAGGAAAGUUUACUUUAUACCCGAGGGAGGCAGGGGUGGGAAGGAAAGUGAAAUCCUCCGCAAAGGGCUUUUAAAGGGGGCGUUUUGGAGACGUAUAGGGUGGAAGGAGAAGGCUAUUUGCAGAACAGCAUAGUCAGCUUGAAAAUUGGUCAUGCGGUGGUCUGAUCAGUGUUAGCUUGAUUGUUUUGAGUACAGUUAGUGUUUAGUUCCAGGGUGGAUUGUUUCCCAUUUCUUUGAGGCCAGUUCUCAGAAUUGUGGCGGCAGCUUAUGUCAUGGCUACAGCCUGGUCAUCGUUUAGGUAACAUCUUCCACCUGGUGGGAGUUUCAGUCUCCACAAAACAGCUGGAAGGAUAUCUGCAGGCCUUGAGGAAGAUCUAAAAGUCCUUGACUUUGUUUUAGUGACAGAACUGUUACUAUUUUGUCCUGUUUGACUGCUUUCCUUUUUUUUAAGUAGCCGUGCCCAUGGCAUAUGGAAAUCCUUAGGCUAGGGAUUGAAUCAGAGCUGCAGCUGCAACAUAUGCUGCAAACUGCGGCAGCACAGGAUGCUGUAACACACAGUGCCUGACCAGGGAUUGAACCCAUACCUCCACAGCAACCCAAGCCGCUGCAGUUGGGAUUCUUAACCCACUGUGCUACGGCGGUAACUCCUUGACUGCUUCCUUUGCUUCUGUAUUUUCUCACUUCUCUGGUUAAACUUAUUCUUUGUCUAAAGUUUUUCUGCAAAAGGCGGGAGAAGGACCAUAGGACCCUGCUCUGCUUCAAUCCUCCUUUUCUUUGAUACUUAGUCUUGAGGAGGAACAGGUGCAGAACAGGUAUGGGAAUAACGGUUUGGAUACAGAGGUUACUCAUAAACUUGACAGAGGAUGUCGGUUUUGUUUCCAUUUCUGUUUUAGUUUUUCCCAACUCUUUCAAGGAAUGGGGCAAUAACCCCUCUGGCUACUUCCUACUGAAAUGGGACAUGGUCCUGCCUAAUUUGGGGAGUGGACACAGAGUUGGAAAUAAUCUUGAGUUCCAGGUUUAGCAUCUAUAGUUUGUAUUAUGAAAGCAUUACCUCUCUCUUAUGUCAGGUACUAUGAUUGUUUUGUCAUAGUAUCUGACAAAUAUUUGAAACUGUUACAAUGAGGAUAAUAAUCAGAAUGCAUCUUUGUACUAUUCUCUGAAUGUAUUUUUUUCCCUAACAGCUAAAGCAGAUGCGCAAUAUAUAUUUAAUAGGCCACAAACAGGCUGUUUUGGUUAGUCCAAAGUUCAAAAUUAAAAAAUAAUGUUUUUACAAUGUUCCUUCGAUUUCUGCUGUACAGCCAGGUGACCAAGACACCCAUGCACACACUUUUUUUUUUUUCAUUUCCCUUUGUGUUCUAACCCAAGAGGCUGGACACAGUUCCUUGUACUUGUAUAGCAGGACCCCACCACCCAUCUGUUCUAAAUGUAACAGUCUGCAUCUACUAACCCCAAACUGUGUUCAUUCCCCUCUCUCCCCCUACCCCCCUAGCAAACACAAGUUAGUCCUCCAUGUCCAUGAUCUGUUUCUGUUUUGUAGAUAGGUUAUUUAUGUCGUAUUUUAUUUUAUUAAAAAUAUUUUUUUUUUGGUCUUUUUGCCAUUUCUUGGGCCGCUCCCACGGCAUACGGAGGUUCCCAGGCUAGGGGUUGAAUCGGAGCUGCAGCCACCGGCCCACGCCAGAGUCACAGCAAUGCAGGAUCCGAGCCGCGUCUGCAACCUACACCACAGCUCACAGCAACGCCGGAUCAUCAACCCACUGAGUAAGGGCAGGGACCGAACCCGCAACGUCAUGGUUCCUAGUCGGAUUCGUUAACCACUGUGCCACGACGGGAACUCCUAUGUUGUAUUUUAGACUCCACAUACAUAUGGUGUUUGUCUUUCUCUUUCUAACUUACUUCACUUAGUAUGAGAAUCUCUAGUUCCAUCCAUGCUGCUGCAAAUGAUGUUAUCUUUUUUAUGGCUGAGUAGUAGUCAAUUGUAUAUAUGUACCACAUCUUCUUAAUCCAUUCAUCUGUCAGUGGACAUUUAGGUUAUUUCCAUGUCUUGGGCUAUUGUGAAUAACACUGCAGUGAACAUAGGGGUACAUGUAUCUUUUUCAAUGAAAAUUUUGUUCGAAUAUAUGCCCAGGAAUAGGAUUGCUGGAUCAUAUGGUAUUUUUGUAUUUAGUUUUUUGAGGUACCUCCAUAUUGUUUUCCAUAGAGGUUGCACCAAUUUUCAUUCCCACCAACAGUGAGGAAGGGGUCCUUUUCCUUCACAUCCUCUCCAGCAUUUGUUGCUUGUUGAUUUGUUAAUAAUGGCCACUCUAACUGGUGUGAGGUGGUAUCUCAUUGUAGCUUUUAUUUGCAUUUCUCUAAUUAUUAGUGAUAUUGAACAUUUUUUCUUGUGCCUGCUGUAUGUCUUCUUUGGAGAAAUGUCUGUUUAGGUCUUCUGCCCAUUUUUUUGAUUGUGUUUUUUUGUUGUUGUUGACUUGUAUGAGUUGUUUGUGUAUUUUGGAGAUUAAAACCUUUGUUGAUUGCAUCAUUUGCAAAGAUUUCUCCCAUUCCAUGGGUUGUCUUUUUGUUUUUUUGUGGGGAGAAAUCUUCCUGAUGUAUUUUCUAAACCCUAAGGAAACUACAAGUAAGGGGCUAGAGGGAACUGGCUCAGCAGGUCAUGCAUUAACUGAGAGAACAAGGUGUUGACUUUGGAAAACCGGGUCAGUUCAAGUCAGAAAACUGCUCAAGCAAACACUGUUCCUCAAGAUGUUAUUCAUAGAUAGCUGAUGCCAGCCUUAUCGAUGCCCUUUAGAGUAAAGGUCAGAGUUAAAAUUCAACUGAGGAGGCAGAGGGCCUUGAGGUUUCUAUUUUCUCACAUUGUUUGCCUUCCUGAGAGCACAAGAAAGACGUUGAGGCAUCGGCAUUCUGGGCUCUUGACCCAUGAGGUCUUGAGUCCGUCGGUCCCAUCUUUAAACUUUACUCUGUAUAUAUGUCUUUCUUUGUUUCUGUUUAACAUUUCUUAAGCUUUGCAGCACCCAUCCUUCGCCCCUACUCACUGAGCUGGUCUCAGCAGGUUUCCUUUGCUGUGCAAAAGCUUUUGAGUUUAAUUUGGUCCCAUUGGUUUAUUUUGUCUUUAUUGUCAUUAUUCUAGGAGGUGGAUCAAACAAGAUGCUUGCUGUGAUUUAUGUCAAAGAGCGUUCUACAUAUGUUUUCCUCUAGGAGUUUUAUAGUAUCUGGCCUUAGAUUUAGGUCUUUAAUCCAUUUGAGUUUAUUUUUGUGUAUGCUGUUAGAGAAUGUUCUUAUUUCAUUCUUUUACAUGCAGCUGUCCAGUUUUCCUAGCACCACUUAUUGAAGAGACUGUCUUUCCAUGCUGAUUCUUCCAAUCCAAGAGCAUGGUAUAUCUUUCCAUCUAUUCGUAUCACCUUUGAUUUCUUUCAUCAGUAUCUUAUAAUUUUCAGAGUACAGGUCUUUUGUCUCUUCAGGUAGGUCUAUUUCUAGGUAUUUUAUUCUUUUUUAUGUAACUGGGAUGAUUUCCCCAAUUUCUCUUUCUGAUCUUUUAUUGUUAGUAUACAGAAAUGUAGUUGAUUUCUGCAGUUGACAUUCAGUAUUAAUUUUUUAUCCUGCAACUUUACCAAAUUCACUGAUGAUCUCUAACAGUUUCUUGGUAGUGUCUUUAGGACUUUCUAGAAAAUCUAUAUAUAUCUAGAAAAACUAUCUGUAAACAUUGAUAGUUUUACUCCUUUUCCUUUUUGGCUUCCUUUUAUUUAUUUUUCUUCUCUGAUUGCCAGGGCUAGGACUUCCAAAACUAUGUUGAAUGACUUCCAAAACUAUGCUGAAUAAUAGUGUGAAAGUGGACAUCCUUGUCUUAUUCCUGAUCUUAGAGGAAAUGCUUUCAGUUUUUCACCAUUAUAAGUAAUGUUAGCUCUGGGUUUGUCAUAAACAGCUGUUAUUAUAUUGAGGUAGUUCCCCUCUAUGCCCACUCUCUGGAAAGUUUUUCUCAGGAAUGAAUAUUGAAUUUAGUGAAAAGCUUUUUCUGCAUCUGUUGAGAUGAUCAAAUGGUUUUUAUUUUUCAGUUUCUUGAUGUGGUGUAUCACAAUGAUAGAUUUGCAGAUAUUGAAGAAUCCUUGCAUCCCUGGAUAAAUCCUGCUUGAUCAUGGUGUAUGAUCUUUUUAAUAUAUAUUUAGAUGUGGUUUGCUAAUAUUUUGUUGAGAAUUUUUGCAUCUCUGUUCAUCAGUGAUACUGGCCUAUAAUUUUCUUUUUUUUUGUGGUAUGUUUGUUUUUGGUAUCUGGAUGAGCUGGGAGUUUUCCUUCCUCUGAAAUCUUUUUGGAAGAAGAGUUUCAGAAGGAGGAGUUCCUAUCGUGGUGCAGUGGAAACAAAUCUGACUAGUAUCCAUGAGGAUGUGGUUCAAUCCCUGGCCUCACUCAGUGGGUCGGGGAUCCGCUGUUGCCUUGCCUAUUGCCUAUUUAUGGAGCAUGAUAAUGACUGUUCAGGGCUGUUCAGGAUCACAGAUAUGGCUGGGAUCCCAAGUUGCUGUGGCAUAGGCCAUCAGCUGUAGCUCCAAUAUUUGACCCCUAGUCUGGGAACCUCUAUAUGCUACAGGUGUGGCCCUAAAAAGCAAAAAAAAAAAAAAAAAAAAAAAAAA